CCGAGUCCGAGCCCAAGCUUCAGGCCCGUUUUGAGACCAACUAGUUUGUAGGAGGAAAACUCGUGAGCAGCCUUCAACGGAGCUAGAGCUGCAGUCAACCCUGAACCUCAACUAUUCUGUCUGACCAAAACUCCCAAUCAGCCUGUAGAUUAGAAAAUAGUGAAUUAAGCCAGCACUAAACUUAUCAUCUUAAAGACAAGAGCACUGAAAGCUCUGAGGAACAACUUUAUCCAAGACAAAGAGAGAUAUGUGUCCCUUGAAAUCAACUCCGCAGUUAUGGGCUGGCAGAACAGGUCAUCCUAACCUGAAGCUCCCCCGAAAAAACGUAUGUAAUACUAACAAUAAUAAUAAUAAUACAACUAAUUUAACUACAGGUAUAGUUCAACAACAGUUU